GACGAACGCUGGCGGCGUGCUUAACACAUGCAAGUCGAACGAAGUGGCGAACGGGUGAGUAACGCGUAAUCAACCUGCCCUUCAGAGGGGGACAACAGUUGGAAACGACUGCUAAUACCGCAUACUGAAGGAGGGGAUUGCGUCUGAUUAGCUAGUUGGAGGGGUAACGGCCCACAAAGGCGAUGAUCAGUAGCCGGUCUGAGAUGAUGGAACGCCACAUUGGGACUGAGAAACGGCCCAGACUCCUAAGGGAGGCAGCAAUGGGGAAACUUACGAAAGGGACGAAAGUCUGACGGAGCAACGCCGCGGGAGUGAUGACGGCCUGCGGGUUGUAAAGCUCUGUUAAUCGGGACGCGUUACCGGAAUAGAAAGCCACGGCUAACUACGUGCCAGCAGCCGCGGUAAUUC
rnacentral:rRNA from 1 species